rnacentral:rRNA from 1 species
GACGAGCGUUGGCGGCGUGCUUAAUACAUGCAAGUCAACUGAAGCAGUGGUAGCAAUAUCGCUGUGGAGGUGGCGCACGGGUGAGUAACACGUAGGUAAUCUGCCUUCAGGUCUGGCAUAACUCCGGGAAACCGGGGCUAAUAGCAGAUGAUGCAGCGGCUCGACAUCGAGACAGUUGUUAAAGCUAUGGCGCCUGAAGAUGAGCCUGCGUCUGAUUAGCUAGUUGGCGGGGUAACGGCCCACCAAGGCAACGAUCAGUAGCUGGUCUGAGAGGAUGAUCAGCCACACUGGAACUGAGACACGGUCCAGACUCCUACGGGAGGCAGCAGUAAGGAAUAUUGCUCAAUGGGAGAAAUCCUGAAGCAGCAACGCCGCGUGAGGGACGAAGGGCUUUUGCUUGUAAACCUCUGUAGUGAGAGAAAAAAAUCCCAAUCUUUGGGACAUGAUGGUAUCUCAAAAGUAAGCCCCGGCUAACUACGUG